ACAAGUAUAUAAUCAAAUCAAAUAAUCAAAGAAUGAAAUAAUGAAACAAUAAACAAUGUAUGAGUGUAAGUGUAAGGGAACCGGCUCAUUGUAAGAAAGCCCAAGAGUAAGCUAUGUGAGGUUGAUGGCGAUGCUUAAAAAGCAAUCGACUUACAAGGGUGUAAAAAAUGGGCUCGAUAUUAAACCGAGAAAAGUAUGAUUUUUAUAGUUUGAAAAAAUGGUUUUUGAACUAAAUUCAAAUACAAUAACUAUGCAUUAUUAACAAAUGAAAUUAUAAGUAUAAUAAACGUAAAAAGAAGAUAUUAACAAAAUACUAAGAGGAUAAAAAAUGCUAAAGGAAGAUAAAAUCAAAUAAUAAGCAAAAAGUACCUCACAUGAGUAUCGAACCCUCUCCCCCUAAUAUUAUGCAACUAAACUCUCUCCACUAGGCCACUCAAUACUAUCUGCUAUUGAGAUACUACCCUAAAUAUAUGAACCGGGCUAAAGAUUUAAAAUAAAAAAAACAAAACAAACAUUUUUAUGGUUUUGUAUUAUCUCUGGAAAAAAACAAAUUAAAUUAAAAAAAUAAAUAAUAAAAAAAGAAAUUAAUUAAAAAAAGAAAACAGAAAAAGAAAUGGGAACGGGGAAGAGAACACAGAGGAGUUCGUCUUCCCCCCUCUCUCUCGCAUCUUACGAGUUCUCUGUCAAACUCAGAAAAUCUCUCUCUCUCGACCCUCAUCGUCCUCAACCUUUUCUCACCUCUCACAACCUCUCAUUCACUCACCUCUCACGACCUCGUCAAUCUUAACCCUCGUCACCCUCGAUGAAUGUCUCUCAAAAUCUCGAACUCAAUCAAGUAAUAAAGCAAUGGCUGAACAAAAACUAACCUUCGGCGGUGACAACGGCAACGAUGAAGCUCACAGGUUUGUCUUUGAUUUGGUGAUUAGGGUUUGUCAAUUGUUCCGCCUCUGAUUUUCG
rnacentral:lncRNA from 1 species